UCCAGUACUUUAUAGUCAAUCACAUUUUUAUAUUGCAAUAAUGAAGAUGUCUGUGUCACCCCAGACUGGUUGCUGGCCCCUAUGAAACCACCACUGUUUCCGUUUGCUCUGUUUUGUCAAACACCGGGCUUCAAACUCAUCGACGCAACUUUGUUAAUCCCUGAAGUGAACUGUUCUGUUAACUGUUGGACUGCUGUCUUGAACUGGAUGUGAGGCCCAAAUUCAUUCAUGGCAGAAGAUCUGUGGAGCAUCACAAACCGAAGGAGAAUUAAACAGAUAGAAAAAGAAAAAUGCCAAACAAAGAGAGCAAGAGACAAUCUACUGAACCAGAAGAGAAAAACACCCCGAAACUAAUCAGACGGAGCAGCAUUAAUAGCGGAAAACCAAACUUUUCUGAUGAUCCAGACAGUUUUAUUCUGACUGACUCUGAUGAGACAGGAGCAGCUCCUUUCACCGGACCAGCAGAAUAUAAUUUAUAUUCUUUAUACUCACUGAUUACAGUUUUUUACAAUCAUUUUUGCAUUAAUAACAGAACCUUCAUGUCAUUUCUCAAAACUCUAGACUCAAAACAUUAUUUGUAACACAGGCUGCCCAAAACUUUGCAUAUUGCGUUCAUAUCUUCAAAAAAGCCUUGCAUUUGCAGAAGCAAAAAAAAAAAGAAAAAGUAUUUUGGUUCAAAAAACUAAUUUAUGAAAUAUCAUAGGAACAUUACGUUAGCUCACCCACACACAAGAUACCCAUAGUUUCACGGUGUAUUUGUUAGUACAAGCAUUAAAUAUAGUUGUACAAGAUAUGUGAUUCAGGUUUCAUUCUUGUAUUGUAGACUAGAGAGAAUAGUACAGACACAGUGGUAUCAUUGAAUUACUGUAAUGUGAAAUUUACCGAGGAAAUAGAAAUCACAACAUAGGUUUUCCAAAGGAAAAAAUUAGAUUAAAAAAAACAAACAAAAAAAACUGUACUGUUAACGUAAGUGUUCCCCACUGCACUAUGCAUCCAUGUUUCCAUCAACC
rnacentral:lncRNA from 1 species